GUGAGGGAGUUGUUGCGGUUUUUUCUUGGCGGAUUGGAGUUUGGUUUCGUGGCCGAGCCACGAUUCGAGGUUUAGAGGUGCCGGCGACUGCGUCUAGGGCGCUUGGAGGGCGGUCGCGAACACUAGCCAGUGCGUGGGAGGGGGGGUGCCUAAAAGCCAAAAUCUAGUUUUCUUCAUUAAAAUUUGCAUAGACACUAUUGACUUGUAAUAAUAUAUUGCCGCUUCAAUCCAUGAGUCCCAUCUUGUCAGAACAGGUUCUGGAGGCAAUAGACAAUCCCGGAAGGCUUGGAUCCUCAAACGAGCUUUAAGAAAUAUUUCUUUACCUUAGAAAUUAAACUAUUGACAUCUUCAUAUUGAUUCCGGAUAACUUCAGCUACUAAACUUAAGGCGUGAGCCAACCAUGUUACAUAAAUUAAGUUGGGAUAAAAUAUUUACAAGAUAUCUGUUCAGGAAGAUCAUUCAUUAAUAAAUAAAAUAACAAAGGUCUUAAAUUUGAACCUUGUUCGCUGGUAAAUAAUUCUCCAACUGGCUAGCUUUCACCACUAUCCUCCAGCGCUCCGCCGGUUCACCUAUUCAUUUACACACCGUGUGCCGAGCCAAAAACACCAGCUGAUCGAUGCAAGCAAAUUUUUUUCUAAGUACACGUUUUUGGAUUCGGCGGCGUAAUUAGCAUCGAGACAUUAAACCCGAUGUCCCGUGUCCCUGCCGAUUAAUAACUGCUUUCCAUAAUUUAUCAGUAAUGUGGUGAAACUGGUGUGCGAGUUUGAGUGGAUGAGGCGCGAACGUGUGAUUUAGGACGACGACGACGUCAACACACGAAGAGGAUGCGGAUCGUCGGAGGUCCGGAACAAACGCCCAUCGUCGACUUGAUAAGAGUCCCGCUAUCAUUUGAUGUGUUCUUGGAAUCCUGGAAAACUCACCUCGAUCCUGUUAUCCGUUAAAUUUAAAUCGACGGUUUUGGUCCUUUUAUUUCAAGUCUCAAUAACACAUCAACUGAUCCAGUUUCCCCUUUAUUUUAUUCUGUUUAUGCAUCGUCCUUUAAUUCGGUGAAGGCAAUUGGAAAAGUUCGGCGGGUGUUUUGUUGGCGAAUUUCGCCGCGAUGAUAAUCUGCCAGUGUUAAAAGUGUGCGAAACUUUAAUCGUUUUUGAAGUUGGUUUAAUGCCGGCGCGAAUAGUUUGGUUAAUCCGAAAUGUGAUUCAAUGUUGGUUUGUUGUAAGUGCGACGUUCUCGAGAAAAUGGAACAAUUCGAGUUACAGUGCAGUAAUCAAGCCCGUAAUUGUAACGGUGCUGUAAUGAUCUCAUUACGCGAUGUAAUCAAAGUCGUGCGAUUGGUUUAACUUUAAUGAUUCAUUACGGUGAUCAUUUCUUAUUGAUUGUGGUAGUAGAACGGAAUUAUGGUAAUUCAGUCGAUUUCUAAAGGUAGGUCUGGAUUUAAAAUGUAUCGACGAGUUUCACUAGCUACGCUGUCUAAUUCUGGGGCUAAACUAUAAAAUUCGCUAUAUGGUGGGGGUUCUAGGACAGUUUGACCUCAUUUGACCUAUCCUAGGAUCUCCAUCAUUUUCUAUCGAUGAGUCUUUGACUAUCAAAUUCGUUGACAAGAAGUAAUGGGGGUCCUAAGACAGGUCAAUUUGGUGAGGAAAAAGUAUUGGGGCUCCUAUCCUAAGACAGGUCAACAAAUUAUCGACAAAAAAAGAUGGGGUUUUAAAGGCAGUCAAAUUGGAUGGGAAGAAGUGAUGGGAGUCCUAAAAUUGACCAAAUUGUUCAAAAAAAAAUCCCAAGACAGGCCAACAAAUGGCGGACACAAAUUACGGAGAUCUUAAGGCAGGUCAAAUUGGUGGGGGAAAAUGAUGGGAACCGGGGUCAUAAGACAGGUCAAAUGAUAAAACGUAAUGGAAGUCCUAAGACAAACCAACAACUGGUCGACAAAAAUUAUGGAGAUCUUAAGACAGGUCAAAUUGGUGGAGAAACAUUAUGGGGGGGGGGGGUCCUAAGACAGGUCAAAUGGUAAAAAGUAAUGAGAGUCCUAAGACAGGCCAAGAACUGGUCAACAAAAUAUGAUGGUAGUCCUAAUACAGAUCAAAUUGGUCGCGAAAAAAUGAUAGGGGCCUAACACAGGUCAAAUGGUCGACAAAAAUGAUCUACGUCAUAAGACGAGUCAAAUUGGUCGGGAAAAAGUGAUGACGAUCCUAAGAUAGGUCAAAUGAUCGACAAAAAAAUGCUGGGAGUCCUAAGACAUGAAUUUGGUUAGGAAAAAGUGAAGGGAGCCCUAGGACAGGUCAAAUAGUCGCCAAAAAAUUAUGAGGUUCCAAAAAAAGUCAAAUUGGUUGAGAAAAAGUCUUAAGAGAGGCCAACAAAUGGUCGACAAAAAUAAUGGAGAUCAUAAGACAGGUCAAAUUGGUGGGAAAAAAAUUUGGGGGGUCCUAAGACAGGUCAAAUGGUAAAAAGUAAUGUAAGUUCUAAGACAGGCCAACAACUGGUCGAUAAAAAAUGAUAGGGGUCCUAAAAGAGAUCAAAAUGGUCGGGAAAAAGUGAUAGGGUCCUAACACAGGUCAAAUAGUCGACAAAAUUGAUCUACGACAAGUAACAUUUGAUCGGGAAAAAGUGAUGAAGUUCCUAAGCCAGUUAAAUUGGUCGGGAAAAAAAUGAUGGGGGUCCUAAAGCAAGCCAAUAAAUGGCAAACAAAAAUGAGAGGAGUCCUACGACGAAGGCAAAAGAAAAAGUAAUGGGGGUCUUAAGACAGGUCAAAUGAUCGACAAAAAAUGCUGGGGGCUCUAAGACAAGUCAAUUUGGUCAGGAAAAAGUGAAGGAGGUCCUAAGACAAGUCAAAUUGAUCGGGAAAAAGUGAUGGCGAUCCUAAGACAGAUCAAAUUGGUCGAGAAAAAAUGAUGUGGAUCAUAAAAACAUGUUAAAUUGUUUGACAAAAUGUAAUGGAGGUCCUACGACAAGUCAUUGCUCGGGAAAAAGUGAUGGGGGGUCUUUAGACAGGUCAAAUGAUCGGUAAAAAAUGCUGGGGGUCCUAAGACAGGUCAAUUUGGUCAGGACAAUACGAAGGAGAUCCUAAGACAAGUCAACAAAUGGUCGACUAAAAUAAUGGGGUUCCAAAGACAGUCAAAUUGGAUGGGAAAAAGUGAUUGGGUUCCUAAAAGAGACCAAAUUGUUCAAGAAAAAGUCCUAAGACAGGCCAACAACUGGUUGACAAAAAAUCAGCGGGGACCUAAAACAGAUCAAAUUGGUGGGGAAAAAGUGAUAGGGUCCUAACGCAGGUCAAAUGGUCGACAAAAAUCAUCUAGGUCCUAUGACAAGUCAAAUUGAUCGGGAAAAAGUGAUAGAGAUCAUAAAAACAUGUCAAAUUAUUUGACAAAAUGUAAUGGAGGUCCUACGACAAGUCAUUGGUCGCGAAAAAGUGAUGAGGGGUCUUAAGAUAGGUCAAGUGAUCGACAAAAAAUGCUGGGGGUCCUAAGGCAGAUCAACAAAUCGUUGACAAAAAAUGAUAGGGGUCCUAAGACAGGUCAAUUUGGUUAGGAAAAUGCGAAGGAGAUCCUAAGAAAAGUCAUCAAAUGGUCGACUAAAAAUGAUGGGGUUCCAAAGACAAUCAAAUUGGAUGGGAAAAAAUGAUGGGGGUCCUAAAACAGACCAAAUUGUUCAAGAAAAAGUCCUAAGCAGGCCAACAACCGCUCGACAAAAAAUGAUCGGGGACUUAGGACAUAUCAAAUUGGUCGAGAAAAAGUGACAGGGUCCAAACACAGGUCAAAUGGUCGACAAAAAUGAUCUAGGUCCUAUGACAAGUCAAAUUGAUUGGGAAAAAGUGAUGGAGAUCCUAAGACAGAUCAAAUUGGUCGGGAAAAAAUGAUGUGGAUCAUAAAAACAUGUCAAAUUUUUGACAAAAUGUAAAGGAGGUCCUACGACAAGUCAUUGGUCGGGAAAAAGUGAUGGGGGGGUCUUAAGACACGUCAAAUGAUCGACAAAAAAUGCUGGGGGUCCUAAGACAGGUCAAUUUGGUCAGGAAAAUGCGAAGGAGAUCCUAAGACAAGUCAACAAAUGGUCGACUAAAAAUGAUGAGAUUCCAAAGACAAUCAAAUUGGAUGGGAAAAAGUGAUGGGGGUCCUAAAAAGAGACCAAAAUGUUCAAGAAAAAGUCCUAAGCAGGCCAACAACUGCUCGACAAAAAAUGAUAAUGGUCCUAGGACAUAUCAAAUUGGUCGGGAAAAAGUGACAGGCUCCAAACAUAGGUCAAAUGGUCGACAAAAAUGAUCUAGGUCCUAUGACAAGUCAAAUUGAUCGGCAAAAAGUGAUGGACAUCCUAAGACAGAUCAAAUUGGUCGGGAAAAAAUUAUGUGGAUCAUAAAAACAUGUCAAAUUAUUUGAUAAAAUGUAAUGGAGGUCCUAUGACAAGUCAUAUUGCUCGGAAAAAGUGAUGGGGGUCUUAAGACAGGUCAAUUUGGUCAGGAAAAAGUGAAGGGAGUCUUAAGACAGGCCAACAAAUGGUCGACAAAAAUUAUGGAGAUCUUAAGAGAGGUCAAAUUGGUGGGGGAAAAUUAUGGGGAGGGGGGUCCUAAGAUAGGUCAAUUGGUAAAAAGUAAUGGGAGCCCUAAGACAGGCCAAGAACUGGUCGACAAAUGAUAGGAGGUCCUAAGACACAUCAAAUUGGUCGAGAAAAAAUGAUGGGUCCUAACACAGGUCAAAUGGUUGACAAAAAUGAUCUAGAUCCUAUGACAAGUCAAAUUGGUCGGGAAACAGUGAUGGAUUGUUUGACAAAAAGUAAUGGGGGUCCUAAGGCAAGCCAACAAAAUGGCAAACAAAAAACGAUGCGGGGGUUUCAAAGACAGUCAAAUUGGACGGGAAAAAGUGAUGGGGGUCCUAAAACAGACCAAACUGUUCAAGAAAAAGCCCUAAGACAGGCCAACAAAUAGUCGACAAAAAUUAUGGAGAUCUUAAGACAGGUCAAAUUGGUGAGGAAAAUGAUGGGGGGGUCCUAAGACAGGUCAAAUGGUAAAAAAUAAUAAGGUUCCUAAGACAGGUCAAGAAUCGGUCGACAAAAAUGAUAGGGGUCCUAAAAUAGAUCAAAUUGGUCAGAAAAAAGUGAUAGGGUCCUAAGACAAGUCAAAUUGGUCGGGAAAAAGUGAUGGAGGUCUUAAGACAGGUCAAAUGAUCGCCAAAAAAUGCUGGGGGUCCUAAGAGAGGUCAACAAAUCGUUGACAAAGAAUGGUGGGAGUCCUAAGACAGGUCCACAACUGGUUGACAAAAAAUGAUGGGGUUUCAAAGACGGUCAAAUUGGAUGGGAAAAAGUGAUCGGGGUCCUAAAACUGACCAAAUUGUUCAAGAGAAAGCCCUAAGACAGGUCAAGAAAUGGUCGACAAAAAUUAUGGAGAUCUUAAUACAAGUCAAAUUGGUGGGGGAAAAUGAUGGGGAGGGGGUCCUAACCAAGAACUGGUCGACUAAAAAUGAGAGAGGUCUUAAGACAUCAAAUUGGUCGGAAAAAAGAGAUAUGAUCCUAUCACAGGUCAAAUGGUCGGCAAAAAUGAUCUAGGUCCUAUGACAAGUCAAAUCGGUCGGGAAAAAAUGAUGUGGAUCCUAAAAACAUGUAAAAUUGUUUGACAAAAAGUAAUGGGGGUCCUAAGGCAAGCCAACAAAUGUCUAACAAAAAAUGAUAGGGGUCCUACGACAAGUCAUAUUGGCCUGGAAAAAGUGAUAGCGGUCCUAAGAUAGGUCAAUUUGGUCAGGAAAAAGUGAAGAGAGUCCUAAGACAGGUCCACAACUGGUCGACAAAAAAUAAUGGGGUUCCAAAGACAGUCAAAUUGGAUGGGAAAAACUGAUGGGGGUCAUAAAACAGACCAAAUUGUUCAAGAAAAAGCCCUAAGACAGGUCAAGAAAUGGUCGACAAAAAUGAUGGAGAUCUUAAUACAAGACAAAUUGGUGGGGGAAGAUGAUGGAGGGGGUCCUAAGACAUCAAAUUGGUCGGGAAAAAGGGAUCUACGUCCUAUGACAAGUCAAAUUGGUCGGGAAAAAAUGAUGUGGAUCCUAAAAAGAUGUCAAAUUGUUUGACAAAAAGUAAUGGGGGUCCUAAAGCAGGUUAACAAAUGGCCAACAAAAAAUGAUAAGGGUCCUAUGACAUGUCAUAUUGGUCGGGAAAAAGUCAUGGAAGUCCUAAGACAGGUCAACAAAUCAUUGACAAAAAAUGAUGAGGUUCCUAAAACAGGCCAAUUUGGUCGGGAAAAAGUGAAGGGAUUCCAAAGACAGUCAAAUUGGAUGGAAAAAGGUGAUGGGGGGGUCCUAAAACAAACCUAAGUGUUUAAGAAAAAGUCCUAAGAGAGGCGACCAAAUGGUUGACAAAAAUUAUGGAGAUCCUAACAAGAGGUCAAAUUGGUUGGAAAAAAUGAUGGGGGUCCUAAGACAAGCCAAGAACCGGUCGACAAAAAAAUGAUAGGGGGUCCUAAGACAGAUCAAAUUGGUCGAGAAAAAAUGAUGGGUCCUAACACGGGUCAAAUGGUUGACAAAAAUGAUCUAGGUCCUAUGACAAGCCAAAUUGGUCGGGAAAAAGUAAUGGGGUUUCUAAGAAAACAAGACAACAAUUUUGUUGACAAAUGGUCAAUAAAAAAUAACAGGCGUUCUAUGACAGGUCAAAUGAGGUCAAACUGUACUAGAACCCCCACCAUAUAACUACUUGUCGAUGACUGAAACGCGUUCACAGUUUGUUAAAAUUUUCGCCACACGAAGUUAUCGUCUUGCGCAAUUUUAACGUAAAGAGAUAAACACAUUACUAAUUGAGUUAAGAGUUUCUUAGAAUUUUAAAAAGUAGGUCGCCCGUUUCCGUCUAUAUGCGUCUGUUAACGAUUUUUUUUAGCAUAUAGUAUCCAAUACCAGUACGUGGGCAGAUUGUUGUGAAAUUUUAGAUUCGUUUUAAUGGUGAAGCUUCAACCAAAGAGUGAUGACGUCAUCUCAAAAUUUUGCAAGCAAAUCUCAUUUGAAAUGAGGUAUGCUUGCAUAAAUGUAUUGAAACAAUGUUUUUUUUUUUGUAUUUAAUUUAAAUUAAAAAAAAAAAAAAUUCUCUAAAAUUAAAUAUCUAACUAUACUUGUUUGAUUGAGCUUCAGAGAUUAGGAAAGUUCUUCAUUAAUAACAUCUACAAUUAAAUAUAAAUAACAACAGUUUGAUUUGUAGAAAAUAAAACUUCUAAUAAGUUCUGGGGAUUGUCGAAAGUUACUUAAUGAAAAUGCUGUAGAAAUCCUAAAAUUGAAAAAAAAAUCAAAGUUCUUUGAAGGGAACUUGCCUGAUUUUUGAAGGAUAACCAUUUCAAAAAUCAAAAUACUGGAAACAAAUUGGGUCAUACAUUUAUUUAUUAUUUUUUUUAGAAAUCUUGCAUAAAAAGUUGUGAAAAAUUAAAUUUGUAAAGUAUGACAAAGACCACAUUUCAUUUCAUUUCAGGGAACGAGAAAAUAAAUUUUAGUCAGUAUUCUGUUUAUUAAAAUUUCAAAGAUUUCUAUUGUUUAGGUUCUAAAACCUCAUAAAAUACCACAGAUAAAUUUAAUAAAAUUUUUGAGUUUUGAUACGAUAAUCCAAAAAUUCGUCCAUUAUUCAAAGUAACAGACGGACAGAGUAAUGUCAGAGACGGAAACGCGAAACCUAAUUUUUCUUCAAACGAUGAUUUUAUUGUAGCUCACAAAAUUUGAUUAUAAUUAUUCUUCGACGUCACAAUUUUUUUGAAGGGCACCAACAUGUAUAUCGUGACAUGAACAUAAAAUAAAAUCGGAAAUUGAUAUAUUUUUUUAUUUUUUCAAAAAAUGUAGUUACUGUGUUAAAGAAUUGUUCCAAUUUUGGAGAACGAGCGCCGAAGCGUGUAGCAAGACAAGCGUAUAAUUUUAUUACUGAUAAAAUAGUUGAAUAGAGCUGAAAAUUGAACAUCUUCGAUCAAUUGACCGCAACUUGAAUCACACGAGAGAAAUUUCGCGUCUCCGGAGCAUCGAGAUUGCUAAAUUCACCGAAUCAAUGGACGACCUUAGUCCUUAGUUAAUGCCUCUUCCAGCCAGUUGCCGCGUCCAUGUUCUGUAAUGAGCCGUUGCCUUUGAAAUACUAAGUCUAAUAAAUCUGAGCAGCUUCGUCUGGCUUCCAUCUUGACAAAAACCUGAAAUUGAUUAACGUUUUAUUUUUAUAGUUAAUUGUUUACGUCAGAAGAGCAAAACCGUGUUGGAGGACGGCGUCGCUUGGCGUUUAGUAAUUUUCGUGUUUUUUUUUUUUAUUAUUUUAAUUUUUGUUUUACGAGCGAUUGUACACUUGUUGAGUAAUAAAAAGUAAUGUUCGCGUU